GCACAAGCGGUGGAUGAUGUGGUUUAAUUCGAUGCAACGCGAAAACCUUACCCACCUUUGACAUGUACGGAAUCCUUUAGAGAUAGAGGAGUGCUCGAAAGAGAACCGUAACACAGGUGCUGCAUGGCUGUCGUCAGCUCGUGUCGUGAGAUGUUGGGUUAAGUCCCGCAACGAGCGCAACCCUUGUCAUUAGUUGCUACAUUCAGUUGGGCACUCUAAUGAGACUGCCGGUGACAAACCGGAGGAAGGUGGGGAUGACGUCAAGUCCUCAUGGCCCUUAUAGGUGGGGCUACACACGUCAUACAAUGGAUGGUACAAAGGGUCGCCAACCCGCGAGGGGGAGCCAAUCCCAUAAAGCCAUUCGUAGUCCGGAUCGCAGUCUGCAACUCGACUACGUGAAGUCGGAAUCGCUAGUAAUCGCAGAUCGGCAUGCUGCGGUGAAUACGUUCCCGGGUCUU
rnacentral:rRNA from 1 species